UUUCUAAAAAAGUUAAAGUACAAACAAAAGAGGAACAAUAGGGGGUCCCCGGUUGCAGGCAAAUACACACUUGUGUAUGUUGGCACCUUACAUCAUGUGUGUGAAUUUGAUCUAUUAACUGUAGCUUCAGACCUACAUGUUUGAGGCCACUCUCUUCCCUGAGAAUCUGAUGAGGCUGGGAAUAGCAAUAAUGAUAUCACGUAAGCAGUGGUGUAUCAGGAGGGGGUGGGGAGUGGAGGGGGAAGGAAGCUGCCCCUUGGUGACAUGUUGCCCGAUGGAAGCUGCCCCUUGGUGACAUGUUGCCUGGUGGAAGCUGCCCCUUGGUGACAUGUUGCCUGGUGGAAGCUGCCCCUUGGUGACAUGUUACCCAAUGGAAGCUGCCCCUUGGUGACAUGUUGCCUGGUGGAAGCUGCCCCUUGGUGACAUGUUGCCUGGUGGAAGCUGCCCCUUGGUGACAUGUUGCCUGGUGGAAGCUGCCUCUUGGUGACAUGUUGCCUGAUGGAAGUUGCCUCUUGGUGACAUGUUGCCUGAUGGAAGUUGCCUCCUGGUGACAUGUUGCCUGAUGGAAGUUGCCCCUUGGUGACAUGUUACCUGGUGGAAGCUGCCCCUUGGUGACAUGUUACCCGAUGGAAAUUGCCUCUUGGUGACGUGUUGCCCAUUUUUGGAGGGGUUAUUAAUUAUUUUUAAUUAAGAAAUGACACUACCCCCUUCUGUGGAGUAGGAGGAGGGCUCUUUCAUGGAAUAAAAACAGAAGUAGUAGUUGUUUUUGAAAUUUGCCUUCCCCAACCCCAAACCUGGAUACACCAUUGCAUGCAAAACAAACUUUGUAUGUGUAUGGAAGAAAAUGACUUUGUACAUUACCAAAUUGCUCCUUCAGCAUGAAAACUGACGUCAGGUUUGAACUUUGAACUGAAAUAAAGCCUUCCCCUUUAUUUUAAAGGUUUCCAGUCAGGGAAAUCUAUGUUUCAGUGCUUGACGCAAGAACCCUUCUUGUGUGUAUAUUGGCAAUGUCAUGUCUUGCAUGGGCCCCUCCCUUGUGCAUCAUGCUGAUGUAAGAGGCUGAACUAUUUAGUUAAAGUUGCCAGGCGUAAAUUUUUUUGUCUGUGAACCUUGCAGAGUUAACCUUAGAAGCUUAGAUGAAACCUUAUUUUUUGGUACUCCUAUUUUGCUUAUUUCUUUUUACCCUCAACCUUAAUUAUUUUCUUUUUAGAUGUUUUGCAACGAGGACACUAUCUGAUGUUUUCUUUUCUGUCUUUGUAAUACUGGGUCAUGAUUUUUUUUUCUCUACAAAACAAAACGUGCGCCCUCUACUGGUAGAGAGCGCUACAAGUGGCUUGUCACUUUGCAAAUGAAGUGGAGUGGGUUAAGUGUCUAAUUAUUGAGCUGGUCUUUAAUUGUGUUCCGAAAUUCCAGAACAGAUCCCAUCACAUUUUCCAAUAAAUUAAAGAACUUCAUUAUUGAAAUUGCUCACAGGGGGCGCUGAAAUUGACUUCUUGGAAAUAGAAAUAUGGUUUAUGUUGAUGAAUAAUUAAAAAAUUGUGCUGAAUAAUAUCUGAAUAUUUCAAGCCACAUACGAGUGCAGCUUGAAACACACCUCCCCCCCCCAAAAAAAAAAAUCUGGCGACUCCCCGCAGAACAGAUUACCUCAAAUAAGAUAAAUUCAGGGUACACGGUCAAUAUAUCAUUGCAUUCCCAUGAAUUAAGUCUUUUGCGUAAACGAAGAUGGAUAAAAAAAAUAUCCAAUGAUUAAACCAGUGCAAAAACCGCUGUAAUCGUGCGGAGAUGUCAUCCAGGAAAGGAAUAUUCAGUCAGUGUUUUUUUUUCUGUCCAACCCACUAUUUACUCAUUGAAAACAUUUCUGAGACGGGUUGCUGAUUAACGCAUUGCUCUGUACUAAAAAGCAUGUGCACAACCACUCGCCAAAGAAAAAUAAACUAAGACCAAAAACAAUUGACAAUUCCUUUAGUUUCCGUCCACAAAUCAAUAAAAACGUAAAUGUGUUUACCCCGCAAUUUGCAUGCACUUCUCCAAGGUGCCAAAGUACUUUUUUUUUCCAAAUAGAAGCACAGAGGUUUGCUUUCAAAGGUUGUAUUAAAAACUUGCAUUGCAGAGACUUUUAUCUUGAACAGCUACAACACCUCUGAUUAUAAUGCAUGCAAGUAAGGUGAUGUGUGGUCGGUACGCGCAGGACAGCGUUGUACAAACAAUACGCCACUUCGUUAAAUUUGAAGUGCAUGUAGCUUGACGGUGUAACCCAAUCAGAUUUAGAUUGUGGAUCAAUUUGACCCAACAGCCUCUAUCGUUUAGGACUCGAGGUUGUCUUGGACGUCCCCAUGGGCGCUACGCGUGGCCGGGGGUUGUUUGCUCUUGUAGGCUUUCCUUCCCUUUUAGCUUGAGUGGCAAACCGUAGGCUAAAAACAACGCAGUGGUCCAUUUUGGAAUGCCCUUGUAUCGCCUCAUUCAGUGCUUCUAUUAUCCGUUUUCGCCGUCACCUAUGAUCAGUGUUGUCUUGUUUUUUCCUCCCGUUAGUGUCCUGAUUCUUCUUUUUAAAAGUCUCCAGCCCCCAACAGUCUGGUACUUGAUCUGCCCCCCACGAGGUGAGGUUCGGGGAGGGGGGCAGCCUCAGGGGGCUUUUUUGUCUAGCCACCUGAAAAAGGCAAAUUUGUUUUAAAGCAGUAGCGAAAGUUAAAGGGUAACCUCUCGUGUGAAGGGUCUAUUCACCUCCCAAUGGCUCUACAACCGCUCCAGCCCCUAACGUGCUACUGCCCAAGCACCCCUUUCUCACGCAGCCUAACUACACUGGCCAGGUACACAGUUUGGAAGCAUAGUAUUUCCUCCGAUGGUGUGGCUUCUCUGUUUGCUUUUCGAUGCCUUGCGCACCAGGGCAACCCAGCCAAUUCAUAUAAUCUCAGUUUUCCUAUCUCAUAGCGCAUGGGUCACACUGGUAUCAUGACUAUUUGGUCCCGAGGUCGAGAAUUUUAAGGAUUGGAGGGAACAUGAGGAUUUCACGCGCCUUCAGGUCCCUGGGAUCACUCCCGGUAGCAUACAUUCCGGACAUCCAAUCAAUUCCUCAAAGGCUAGGGGCCUAUGUCGAGGAUUUACGAAAAUUUACACUCUUGGGCUAUCAAAAUUUGAACACAAACAGAUGUGAUUCAGAAAAGGGUGGAUUUUCGUUUCCAGUGUUUUAUUUCAAAAAUAAUAACUCCGACUUGCUGUCCCCGGCACGUUCUGAAAAUUAAUCACGUGUAUUCUUGGUUUGGUUGAUGUCCUUCGUCAACAUUGUUUGCGUGAAAUAAAUUUCAGUGCAUGUAUUCUGUUUAAACAAAGUGACACAUUCCAAAUGCAAUGUUAAGCCUAUAUACAUGUAACUAUAAGGUCUUCAUAUUUAAGUACGUACGGCGAAAGUGAUAAAUCCACGUAAGAAUUUUUUCUUCAGAACUCGAAAUACAUAUAUAAUGUGUACAUAAAACUGACAUGAAAUAAUUGCAAUAAGUCAAACUAUACUAAAUAAUUUAGCUUUAAUACACCAUAUUCUUUUUGAUAUACAGUUUUGUAUUUGGGAAAGUAGUAGUUGUGGCCCAGUUUCCACAUCGUAAUGUGGAACGAUUUAUUAAUCUAAAGUUUAUUCAGAAAACAAAAUCCAGCCGACAUCUUCAUUGGCGUUUUGAAUUUUUGCUCUUCAAAAUGGCGUACGUAGGAGCUAUAACAGGCUGUUAAGCACAUAAAACGGCAGCUCUCAAUUUUGUUUGUGUCGGGGGGGGGUUAAAAGCGAAUAGAGCUUCGAGCUUAUUCAAUAUUAUGUUGAGGGAGAAAAAAAUCAGACUUAUUCGCGGUCCGUACAUCCUUGCUUUUAUUUCGUGGUGUAGUUUCUUAGGGUUUUGGUGCUAAUAUUGAUUAAAAUUUUUUAUUAACAUUUGAUAUUACAAAAUCCGUGGGGGGGCUGCCCCUUGUCUCGCUCCCUGCUGGAUGCGUCACUGAUUAGUUGUCAUUUUUAUAUUACAUAAUUCGCUAUAAAAGAAAGAAAAGACAAAACAAGCGGUAGGUCUAUCAGUUGUCUGGUAUUUUGUUAAAUUGCAUUCUUUGUUACCAAACAUAAAAACAGCAAAUCAUUUCAUAAAGUGCAGUCAUUAUUUAGACAUGAACUGUCUUUGCAACUACUUUAUAAGUGUUACUUUUUAGAAGAGAAACAAGCAAUCAUAAUAAACAGGCGCUCUUACGCGAAAUAUAA